UCUCUUCGGGGAUGAUUAAACCGGCGCACGGGUGAGUAACACGUGAGUGACCUGCCUUUUAGACUGGAACAACUUACCGAAAGGUGAGCUAAUGCCGGAUGAGUUAUAUAAGUGCAUGUUUAUAUAGGAAAAGUUGGGGAGACCUGACGCUGAAAGAUGGACUCGCGUCCCAUUAGCUAGUUGGUAGGGUAAUGGCCUACCAAGGCGACGAUGGGUAGCCGGCCUGAGAGGGUGGCCGGCCACACUGGGACUGAGACACGGCCCAGACUCCUACGGGAGGCAGCAGUGGGGAAUUUUGCGCAAUGCUCGUAAGAGUGACGCAGCGACGCCGCGUGAAUGACGAAGGCCUUCGGGUCGUAAAGUUCUUUCGACAGGGAAGAAAAUGCCUAUAAGUAACUGUGUAUGUAUUGACGGUACCUGUAUAAGCAGCCCCGGCUAACUCCGUGCCAGCAGCCGCGGUAAUACGGAGGGGGCGAGCGUUGUUCGGAGUGACUGGGCGUAAAGAGCACGUAGGCGGUGUUGUAAGUCAUUAGUCAAAGACUAGAGCUCAACUUUAGUAAGGCUAGUGAUACUAUAAUACUAGAGUAUCAGAGAGGAUUGCAGAAUUCCUGGUGUAGCGGUGAAAUGCGUAGAUAUCAGGAGGAAUACCGUUAGCGAAGGCGGCAAUCUGGCUGGAAACUGACGCUGAGGUGCGAAAGCGUGGGUAGCAAACAGGAUUAGAUACCCUGGUAGUCCACGCUGUAAACGAUGGAUGCUAGGUGUUGGGCUUUUAA
rnacentral:rRNA from 1 species